CUCACUGCUUGGCCCCAGAUGGACAUUGGACAUAGCCAGGAUAAGCAGUGCUCUUCAGUCUCAGCCGCCUUCGUCUCUUUUCUGUGGAUGACUCUCCAGGGAGACAGAUCUCACAGCUGAGCUCGCGACUCUUGUCCUAACACAGCCUUCCUAUGUCCUCAUCUUCCAGCCACCAUAUGCUCUUCUCCAUCGUUACCUCCUCCUCACCAAUAAACAUUUUUUUU
rnacentral:lncRNA from 1 species